rnacentral:rRNA from 1 species
UUGCUCUUCGGAUCAGUGGCGAACGGGUGAGUAACACGUGAGCAAUCUGCCCCUGACUCUGGGAUAAGCGCUGGAAACGGCGUCUAAUACUGGAUAUGAGCUGCGAUCGCAUGGUCAGCAGUUGGAAAGAACUUCGGUCAGGGAUGAGCUCGCGGCCUAUCAGCUUGUUGGUGAGGUAAUGGCUCACCAAGGCGUCGACGGGUAGCCGGCCUGAGAGGGUGACCGGCCACACUGGGACUGAGACACGGCCCAGACUCCUACGGGAGGCAGCAGUGGGGAAUAUUGCACAAUGGGCGCAAGCCUGAUGCAGCAACGCCGCGUGAGGGACGACGGCCUUCGGGUUGUAAACCUCUUUUAGCAGGGAAGAAGCGAAAGUGACGGUACCUGCAGAAAAAGCACCGGCUAACUACGUGCCAGCAGCCGCGGUAAUACGUAGGGUGCAAGCGUUAUCCGGAAUUAUUGGGCGUAAAGAGCUCGUAGGCGGUUUGUCGCGUCUGCUGUGAAAACCCGAGGCUCAACCUCGGGCCUGCAGUGGGUACGGGCAGACUAGAGUGCGGUAGGGGAGAUUGGAAUUCCUGGUGUAGCGGUGGAAUGCGCAGAUAUCAGGAGGAACACCGAUGGCGAAGGCAGAUCUCUGGGCCGUAACUGACGCUGAGGAGCGAAAGGGUGGGGAGCAAACAGGCUUAGAUACCCUGGUAGUCCACCCCGUAAACGUUGGGAACUAGUUGUGGGGUCCAUUCCACGGAUUCCGUGACGCAGCUAACGCAUUAAGUUCCCCGCCUGGGGAGUACGGCCG